rnacentral:rRNA from 1 species
CACGUAGGGGGCGAGCGUUGUCCGGAUUCAUUGGGCGUAAAGCGCGCGCAGGCGGCUCGGAAAGUCGGGUGUGAAAACUCGGGGCUCAACCCCGGGCGUGCAUCCGAUACUGCCGGGCUUGAGGCAGGUAGGGGAGAUCGGAAUUCCUGGUGUAGCGGUGGAAAUGACGCAGAUAUCAGGAGGAACACCGGUGGCGAAGGCGGAUCUCUGGGCCUGUCCUGACGCUGAGGCGCGAAAGCUAGGGGGAGCGAACAGG